UUAUACUGGUCCAUAAUUUAUGCUGGAUGGUAAACAAAAUUUUGCCUACAUCAGCUUCUUCAGCAGAGGCAACCCUUGUGGAGACCAUUUGUGAACUUUAACCCUUAACCCCUAGUAUAGUACACACACUUUGGUCAUCACCAUUAAUGGUUGUUCCAUUUUAUAGUUCUCUACUCAGUAUAGUUUCACCAAGCACUAUAAGCAUGAUAUCAAUUCAAAGACUUCGUUUCCUUUCUUCACCAUCCUUUCUCUCACGUUUCACUCCUAAUUCUUUGCCUUUCACAUCUUCAUUUUCUUCUUCUCCUAAUGCCCAAAUAGAACACACAACAAGCACAACUGCAACCCCUUCUCUAACCCAAGAAGAGAUUACACAAAUCAAUCUACUAAUCCCACGUUUAUGUUCAUCAAAUCACCUCAAAGAAGCUGCUAAUCUCAUAUCAACAGCUUUUCUCACAAACCCAUCUUUAGAAUCACUCUCUAUUUCCAUUUUCAUUCACAGACUCUCUCUUGAACAUGACCUUACACAAUCCAUGUACUUCCUUAACAGCCUCAAGUACACCCCAAAGACUCAAUCUUUUUUAUUACCCAUUUGUAAAAUGUUGGUUUCUUUGUAUUUUAGAGAAAGAGAGGCUAAGAAAGCUUUAAAGAUUUUUCAUUGGGUGUCAAGGCCUGAUUUUCCUUGUGUUGUGGAUUAUGGUUUUUGUGCUGUUUUGGUAAAUGGGUUUUGCAAGAAUGAUAUGGUUGUUGAGGGGUUGAAGGUUUUGAGGGUGAUGGUGUUCGGGAAUUUGAAAGUUGGGGGUGAGGUUAGGAUGUUGGUGUAUAGAAGUCUUUUGAGAGAGGCUAGGAUUAAGGAGGCUCAAGAACUGAAUGAAGCUUUGAAGUGUGUUGUAAAUGGGGAUAAGGGAAAUGAGGAAGUGGUUGCUUUGUUGGAUAGUAUAAUCUCAAAUUGGAUUGAAUAGACAGUAUAAGAUUUUCACAUUUAUGCUCUUCAAAUCACCCCAAAGAAGCUGUCAAUCAUUAAUGAAAGCUUUUCACAAACCCAUCUUUAGAAUCACUCUCUGUUUCCAUUUACAUUCACAAACUCUCUCUUGAACCUGACCUUACACAAUCACUGUACGUCCUCAACCGCCUUAAAUGCACCCCAAAGACUCGAUCUUUUUAAUUACCCAUUUGUAAAAUGUUGAUUUCUUUGUAUUUUAAAGAAAGAGAGGCUAAGAAAGCUUUAAAGAUUUUUCAUUGGGUGUCAACGCUUGAUUUCCCUUGUGUUGUGGAUUACGGAUUUUGUGCUGUUUUGGUAAAUGGGUUUUUGCAAGAAUGAUAUGGAUGUUGAGGGGUUGAAGGUUUUGAGGGUGAUGGUGUUUGGGAAUUUGAAGGUUGGGGGUGUGGAUAGGAUGUGGGUUUAUAGAAGUCUUUUGAGAGAGGCUAGGAUUAAGGAGGCUCAAGAGUUGAAUGAAGGUUUGAAGAGUGCUGAGAAUGGGGAUAAGGGAAAUGAUGAAGUGGUUGCUUUGUUGGAUAGUAUAAUCUCAAAUUGGAUUGAAUAGAGAGUAUAAGAGGUAUUUGUCUUUGGAGGAUGUGGACUAAUAGUCAAUGAAGUUGGAGUGAAGUCCAUGGGAGACUCAGGUUCAAAUCUCAAUAGAGGCAAAAUAGUGAGGUGAUCUCUUACAUCUGCCUAAACCCUAGUGGUAAAGAGUUAUCUGGUACCUACACUACUGGAAGGAUACAGGUACAUGGUGCGCGCGACCUAACUCCACUGUCACGAAAAUGAGGAGUUUGAUAUAGAAAGGGGGUUUAAGGUUGCGUACCGUGUUGUUUAAGCUUUUGAGUGUUAAUAAGCUCUGUAUCUUAUCCCUUUACUACUAUCUGGACAACAGAUGACCAAAAUUAUUAAGAAUGCACCGUGACGGUGUUCCAAGAAAAUGGAAGAGCUUUGACAAAUAACUUGUGCAACAUGAUCGCAUUUUGCAUUACUUGACAGAAUGGUUACCAUGAUGUAGCUCCCUGUAAAAGUUUCAUUAGAGAAAUGCUGGUGAAUGAUUUGUCAAAAAGGGGGAUGAGUUACCAUUGACUAAGCUUUUAUCUUCUGCCUUUUUCUUUUUGUGACGGCUCAAUUUGUGGAUGCUAAAUUCUUCAUACCUCUUGGUGAUUUGCCUCUUAUGAUAAUCCGCCCCUAGUAUUUCAUUUUAUAUUUUGGCUCUCAAUGGUAGUAGAUUAACAGAUAGAUCUCAUUUUUUAUUUGGGAUUCUUCUUCUCCUACUGGACUUAUUUGCAGUAUCCAAGAACAAGGAAACAUGAAAAGAUCAAAGAAAAGCUAUGGUAGUUACUGGUAGGAGGGUUGUAAUCGUAAAACUAUUCAGCUGUGUUACUCAUGUUCAGUAAUAAGAGAGCAUUUAGCAUCUCAAGAAGAGAUUUCUAUGC